GGAGUUGCAGAUCAGUGGUGGAGCAUCUGAUCGGCAUGCAGAAGGUCCCAGGUUCAAUCCCUGGUAUCUCUA
rnacentral:tRNA from 1 species